AUUGACCUCCGUCUUCAACACCAAAAGUAACCCCUUCACUUCUGAUUGUCUGCCCCCCUCUUUUUUAGACAAUGGAACAUUCCAGAGGCGAGUGGCACCUAAGAGGAUGCUUGAGCAUGCGCAACGCUUCUGCAGUGCACCGCGCCCAGGACCAGGCUGGUAGCAGGGAAAAGCUCUAUAGCGCCCCGUGCAGGUGCCGGUUCGAAUCUAGCCCCGGCAGGGAGGGUGGGUGUGGCAGUGGCAGUGAGACUAACGGGGCGAAGGGCUGCAGGGAUUGUCGUAAAUCUCUCCAAGACUGAGGGGCUGCUGCUGGUCGGGAGACAGGUAUUCGUAUCGCCACGGCGCCCAGCCCAGGAUGGUUGCCUCCUGUCCAUAUUUUGCCCCACAUUGGCUGGGGAAGGUGACACUUGCUGUCCAUGCAUCAGAUCCCCUGGAGCAGUUAAUCCAGCAUUUAGCAAAAUGCCUCCUACAUCUGUGUUCUACACUGGUCCCUGAAACUGCCACAGAUCAAGACAUCUUCAUUUUCAGGUGCACUGGGAUUACCAAAGGAUGUCAGCACAACACUCAAAUUAACUGGCCUGAUCCUGUUCUAGAUUUGCCAUUUACUACACUUGGAGAAAGAUUGGGCCCAAUGUUUGCAUGUUAACUGUUGAUUCUGGAAUAUAAACAAUUUCCCCCCAAAUAGAAUUAAAGCCAGUGCAAGAUUGUGC
rnacentral:lncRNA from 1 species